rnacentral:rRNA from 1 species
UUCAUCGCUCGCGAUGUUUAACUGACAUGAUUGUGGGACGUCCUACCGGUGGACUUAGCCUCUUUCUCUUCGGAGGAGAGGCGGUCCAGCUAAUAUCCCAUCGCGGUGCUUUUCAUCGAGUGUCGAGGUGGGCCGGUACGUUUACUUUGAACAAAUUAGAGUGCUCAAAGCAGGCCAUCCUCGCCUGAAUACUGUGUGCAUGGAAUAAUGGAAUAGGACCUCGGUUCUAUUUUGU